UGCGUAGAUAUAUGGAAGACACCAGUGGCGAAGGCGGCUGUCUGGUCUGCAACUGACGCUGAGGCUCGAAAGCAUGGGUAGCGAACAGGAUUAGAUACCCUGGUAGUCCAUGCCGUAAACGAUGAGUGCUAAGUGUUGGAGGGUUUCCGCCCUUCAGUGCUGCAGCUAACGCAUUAAGCACUCCGCCUGGGGAGUACGACCGCAAGGUUGAAACUCAAAGGAAUUGACGGGGGCCCGCACAAGCGGUGGAGCAUGUGGUUUAAUUCGAAGCAACGCGAAGAACCUUACCAGGUCUUGACAUCUUGUGCAAAUCUUAGAGAUAAGGAGUUCCCUUCGGGGACGCAAAGACAGGUGGUGCAUGGUUGUCGUCAGCUCGUGUCGUGAGAUGUUGGGUUAAGUCCCGCAACGAGCGCAACCCUUGUUAUUAGUUGCCAGCAUUAAGUUGGGCACUCUAGUGAGACUGCCGGUGACAAACCGGAGGAAGGUGGGGAUGACGUCAAAUCAUCAUGCCCCUUAACUUGGGGGUUAAA
rnacentral:rRNA from 1 species